CCUACGGGUGGCAGCAGUGAGGAAUAUUGGUCAAUGGACGAGAGUCUGAACCAGCCAAGUAGCGUGAAGGAUGACUGCUCUAUGGGUUGUAAACUUCUUUUAUAAAGGAAUAAAACGAGGCACGUGUGCCUUUUUGCAUGUACCUUAUGACUAAGCAUCGGCUAACUCCGUGCCAGCAGCCGCGGUAAUACGGAGGAUUCGAGCGUUAUCCGGAUUUAUUGGGUUUAAAGGGAGCGUAGAUGGGUUGUUAAGUCAGCUGUGAAAGUUUGCGGCUCAACCAUAAAAGUGCAUUUGAUACUGGCAGUCUUGAGUACGGGUGAGGUAGGCGGAAUGCGUGGUGUAGCGGUGAAAUGCUUAGAUAUCACGAAGAACCCCGAUGGCGAAGGCAGCUUACUAGACUAUGACUGACAUUGAUGCGCGAAAGUGUGGGUAUCAAACAGGAUUAGAUACCCGAGUAGUC
rnacentral:rRNA from 1 species